AGCAAGUUGCUAGAGUGGCCUGCCACAGUGUAAGUUUUGUUCUUUAGCUCUUUGCAAUAAAUCUUGCUACUGCCCACUCUUUGGGUUUACACUGCAUUUAUGAGCUGUAACACUCAUGGUGAAGAUUUACAGGUUCAGUCCUGAAGCCAGCGAGACAAAGAACCCACUGGGAAGAACAAACAACUCCAGACGCCCCAACUUAAGAGCUGUUAACACCCGAAGAUCUGCAGCUUCACUUUUGAGCCAGCGAGACCACGAACCCACCAGAAGGAAGAAACUCUGAACAGGCUGGAACGUCAGAAGGAACAAACUCAGGACAUGCCACCUUUAAGAACUGUAACACUCACUGUGAGGGUCUGCGGCUUCAUUCUUGAAGGCUGUGAGACCAAGAACCCACCAAUUUCGGACACACUGGGACCACCCUCGCUGACUGGAGCACUUGAGGCAAUCAUUCCCAGAUAGUGGAACCUCGAAUGGCAGACACUGUGGUUCUCCUGCGGGGCUGAGAACUGUGAGGAGCAGAGCAGACUUCAUGGAGCUCCACAAGUCACAUACACAGGCGGCUGCUGGCUAUUUCCGCUUUCUCAUCUGGAAUUGGCAGCGGACUAAGUGGGCCCUACUUAUUAGGUUGGUGCAAAAGUAAUCGCGAUUCUUGCCAUUAAAAGUAAUGGCAAAAGCUGCGAUUACUUUUGCACCAAUCUUACUAUAUAUAUAUUAUUUUUUCAAAUCUCAGUUUUAUUCUCAUUCCAGCAUCCUAAUGCUUUCCCUUUGGAUUUUUUUUUCUAAUCUUGAGAAGUUUGUGUUUUCAGUGUAGUAAUAACAAUAAUAGUGUUCUUAGCACACGCGUUACGCCAAGGGCUUUUAAAAGAUACUUUUCAUAAACCAACUCACUUAAUUCUCACAACAACUUUUGAAGUAGUCCACUUUCUAAUCCUCAUUUUACAGAUAAGGAAACUGAGGCACACAAGGUCAGCUAACCUGCCCGAGGUCUCUAGCUAGUGACUGGAAGAGGUGUUCUCUGGAUAUUAUUUGAAUCUCAGUCUCGCUAUAUUUCUUCGUCAUGACUGUAACUUUCCCCCUGUAUUUCUAAAUAUUUUAAUCUCUUGAUCAUAUAGCAUACGUUGAUUUAAUAAAUCACUUUUACAUG
rnacentral:lncRNA from 1 species